UACGUAGGGGGCAAGCGUUGUCCGGAAUCAUUGGGCGUAAAGAGCGUGUAGGCGGCCCGGUAAGUCCGCUGUGAAAGUCCAGGGCUCAACCCUGGGAUGCCGGUGGAUACUGUCGGGCUCGAGUCCGGAAGAGGAGUGUGGAAUUCCUGGUGUAGCGGUGAAAUGCGCAGAUAUCAGGAGGAACACCAGAGGCGAAGGCGGCCUGCUGGGCUGCACCUGACGCUGAACCGCGAAAGCCAGGGGAGCGAACGGG
rnacentral:rRNA from 1 species